CUAGCCGUAAACUAUGAGUACUGAAUUGAAGGGUCCUUCAUAGCCCUUCAGUUGUAGCGAAAGUGUUAAGUACUCCGCCUGGGGAGUAUGGUCGCAAGGCUGAAACUCAAAGAAAUUGACGGGGGCUCACACAAGCGGUGGAGGAUGUGGCUUAAUUCGAGGCUACGCGAAGAACCUUAUCCUAGUCUUGACAUGCACGGAUUAACUCCUGGAAACAGGAGCCAGGCCUUCGGGUACAACGUGCACAGGUGC
rnacentral:rRNA from 1 species